CAUGCGCUCGCGCGCCGCCUGAUGUUGGCCAACAUGUUGGCUGUUAAAGGCCUUGCACCAACCGUGUUGCCAAACCGGUGCUAAGUGUGUGGGUGCGCAUGGACUCUAUGCAUGUGUGUAAGUCGUGUACGUUCUUUGUGACAAAUGCGCGAGCUCGCAAGCGCGCGUAACGCCAUUCUUCGACGCCGUGCCAAUCAGUGGUGGAAUUGGAAUCCGGUGCAUCCUGAGAGUACAUGCAUCUCUAAAUUUUCAAUUUUCUUCUUCAAUACUGAAUUAAUUGACUGGUAAAACAAUCCUUCUCGUAACGAUCCAUCCUAGGACAAGUUGAAAGGCAUUGUCCACGAUCAAGGAAGAAAUGUAUUCAUUGAAGGUAACGGGAUACACCGUUUUCCCAGAUCGAGUCGCGUACGUUUUUGCUGCUGUCCGUUACGUUCGUUUCAUUCGAAUACGAGCAUGCCGGUCUAUUCAAAUCGGACACAAAGAUGACUAGAGGAAGAACAUGAACUGUGAACAUACGAAUUCCGAUCGUGAUCGCUGCGAAUAAUAUAUGUUAUGAUUUCAAUGAAGGAAAGAUAAAGAAAUACUUCUUUAAUCGAUAAGUUUUCCAAGAAGUUUUUGAACAAUUCAUAACAAAAUUUGAUUUUAAAAAUUAAAAAUAAAAUUAUAAGAAAUAUGCAUCGUUAAACAAAUAAAAUACAUAUAAAAAUAAUAAAAAAAUAUUUGUGCGGAACAUAUUUUGUUUUUAAUAAAUUAAAAAAUUAUAAUGGAAAUAUAUUUAAUAAAUAAACAGAUGAAAUGUAUAUGAAAUUAAUAUUAGAAAAAAAUGUAUAUUAUGAUAAAUGAUAAUAUAAAAUCUUGAAAGUGGAAUAUCAUAUGUUAAAAUAAAUUUUUAAAAUUACAAUAGAUAAUUUUUGCAAUAAUAAAAUAUACGGAAUUAUAAUUUGAUGAUAAUGGAAUGUUCUAGAUCGAAAUCGAGAAACUAAACUUACUAUUAAUAUAUUUGGAAUUUUAUUUUAACAAUGAAUAAAAAUAUGAAUAAAAAUAAAUAUAUAUUAUAAG